UACGUAGGGGGCCAGCGUUGUCCGGAAUCAUUGGGCGUAAGAGCGUGUAGGCGGUCCGGUAAGUCCGCUGUGAAAGUCGGGGGCUCAACCCUCGAAUGCCGGUGGAUACUGUCGGGCUAGAGUGCGGAAGAGGCGAGUGGAAUUCCUGGUGUAGCGGUGAAAUGCGCAGAGUAUCAGGAGGAACACCUAUUGCGAAGGCAGCUCGCUGGGACGUAACUGACGCUGGAGACGCGAAAGCGUGGGGAGCAAACAGG
rnacentral:rRNA from 1 species